AUAGUUGAUUUAAUGCUAGAAGUCUUCAAUUGCUGCAGUAUGAUGAAUUAUUUCUUUUUAGUAUUUGUUUUUGUGUUCCUUUUAACCUGAACUCUGCCAGCAGUCUAACUCUAGCAAAAUGCACUCAUUAGGUGAAUGCCUGGAAUGUAACCAAGUUAUGUGUUUAAUCUACUUACCAUAUAAAGAGUUAAUUCUCUCAACUCAUCUUUGUAGGUUUCUUGCAAAUCUUUUCUAAAUGUUUAUACCUCCUGGGUCUAGGAGUGAAGCUGCACUAUGACUGCAGGGAGUAAGAUGCCUCUUCCCAUUUCCUUGUCUGUGCUCAAGAAAUACUUUGCCCUGCUUGGCCAAAGAACUAUGCUGUAAGCUUGCUCGCUCUAUUCAUCAGCAAUGCUUCCAGGCUAUGUAAUCCUGCAGUUCAUGUGAACCUAUGUACUUUAUUCCUUUAAAAGGAUUGUGCUGUUGGUGGCAUUUUAACACCUGUUCAGAGAGUCCUGAGUGGUCCGGGUAACUCCUGUACCAGUCUUGCCUCCUGCCAAAUAUUUGCAAACUGUAAUAGAUAUGAAAUCAACUAGAGAGGUGUGCCACUGAGUAGAAUACACUGUGUAGCGUGAACAUUCUGCAAAGCAGUUAGUUAGCGUUAAGCUGGUUCUUUAAAAAGUCCCACUGUGUUUUACUUCAAUUAUGACCAGCUGGCACUGUAGUAUAGUGUUCAUAGUACUUCAUAAUUCAGACUGCAUUAACCUUUGUGUGAUCUUUAUGAUCUUGAAAUAGUGAUACCCAACAAAAAAUGGAUCCAGUUUUCUGUGUGAAUGAAAGUUUUGAAUAAGCAGCGGAAUUUGAAGUCUUGAGCCUUUCACGUUUUGAGUCUCAAUCUCCCAGUCUGAUUUCGGCCUCCUUUGUACCCAUCUCUGUGCACGUGUUGCUCCCUUAUGGAGAAAAAGGUGAAUUCAGGAUCCCUGUGGGCUGUGCUUUCCAGGAGCGGCUUGGGCCGUUUUUAUUUUGUUUUUUAUUUUUUAACCGCCAGGAAGCAAGGACAGCCGCGGCCGCGCCGCAGCUGCCGCCCAGCCGUUGGGGCGGGGCCGCGAGGCGAGAAAUCCCUCAGGCCCCGGCGGAGGGGCGUGGCGCGGGGCCGAAGUCCUGAUUCGCUGCCGCGCGGCCAAUGGUGGGCGGCGGCGCGGGCGGCGGCCGACCAUGGAGGUGGGGGCGGCGGCGUUCGAGCGGUGCUUGCCGCGCCUGCGGGAGCGCCUCCGCCGCGCCGCCUUCCUGGGGCUUGAUAUGGAAUUUACAGGCUUACAUUCAACUUUCCCACAAAAUAACAAGCCAAGUCUGUUUGAUUCCCCGGCUGAGUGGUAUCUGAAGGCCAGGCGGAGCGUUCAGCGCUUUACAGUUAGUCAGUUUGGACUGGCGAUAUUCUCAAAUGAAAAUUCAAACAAGUAUGUGGUGCAUUCAUACAACUUCUUUCUCUUUCCCUCAACAUUUGGAGUUACGGAUGCUGAAUUCACCCUCUCUGCAUCUAGCAUUCAGUUCCUGUCUCAUUAUGGCUUUGACUAUAAUAAGUUCCUGAAAGAUGGAAUCCCAUACAUGAAUGAGUUACAGGAGAAGAGCCUUAGCCAGGAUCUCUUGGCAGGUAGCUGGAAGGUCUGCAGUGUCUUGGACAGGGACAGGAUGAAGAAGGCUGUUGAUGAGGUGACAUGCUGGAUAGCAGCAGCAGAGGAAGAGGAGACUAUGAUUCUGCAGGAUCUGAGUGGCAUUCAGAUGUUUGAAGUUCAACUGGUUCUGAGGCAGGCUCUCCAGAAUGUUUGGACACAGCCUCUUGGAGACAGAGAGGUGAUGGUGAAAAAAGUGAGUCCACAGCAUCGUCAGCUUCUGGAGAACUCUUCUCAUGACUCCUGCCAGAAAGAGCUCAUUCUUAUGUCUGCCCGGGGCUUCACCAACCUCUUCCAGGCACUUGUUAAAGCCAAGAAGCCCCUGGUGGGACACAACAUGCUCAUGGACCUUUUGCAUCUUCAUGACAAGUUCUACAAGCCCCUUCCAGAAAGCUAUGAGGAGUUUAAAAGGAACAUUCACAGCCUGUUUCCUGUCCUCAUAGACACCAAGACUGUAACAAAAUCUGUCUGGAAGAAAUACCCAUUUCCUCGAGUAUCUAAUCUUUUGGAGGUGUAUGAAGUUCUGUGCAGCAGCGACCUAAAUCCCACAGAUCCAACCUGCCCAGUGAUUGUUCUUGCAAGUGACUGCUCAAGAUAUGCAGAGAAGACUCCUCAUGAGGCAGGCUAUGAUGCAUUUCUUUGUGGCUCAGUUCUUCUGAAAGUAGCUCACUUGCUACUGUGCAAAUCGACAGGUGUCACAGCAGAGGCUGAUCCUUCUUUCUCUGAGUAUCUCAGCGCAUUAGUCAAGUAUCUGAACAAGGUGCAUGUCAUCCAAGGUGGCGUUUCAAGCAUUAAUUUUUCUGGGGUAGAUGCUUCUUGCCGACGUCCCCCUCUCUUGGUUGUCCACGUCCGAGGUUGGCGAGGGCUGAAUGAAAGGCAUAUUUACCAAGAGUUAAAAGGUCUUUGUCAGUUUGAUGUUAAACGUCUUUCAGAGAACCAGUUCAUUUUGCUCUCCAGUAAAUUUAAGCAUGCCAGGCUUGCUCUGCGAGAUUAUAAAGAUCACCCUAAUCUGCAGAUUUCUCUUUAUCGCCACUGGAGGCACUCUCCACACGUGAACUGCCUGUUGCAGUAAGUUACAGCAAUGACACGAUGGUGAGGGGAAAGCACUUUCUGCAGAGUGCCAGAGCCCAGGCACAGAAGCAGCCUGCCUCUCUUCUGCAGUGUCCUUCUGGAGAACAAGGGAUUCGGGAGCAGAGUCUCCAGUAUUGUGGCACUGUGGUCUCUCUUUGCCUUUGUACUCGGAGGAGCUCCUUGCCAUUCAGUGUAAAGGAUUGUUUUAUGGAUGAGAACUGAGGAACACUGAUCUUAUUUUCCGUCUGUUUGUCUAUGUUUUGUUUUGUUUUUCUUGCACAAUAAAGUAUGAGCAGUAACAAGGUA